rnacentral:lncRNA from 1 species
GGAAAAAACAUCUACCCAUCCUGAGAAUAUGUCUAAGAUGAGAAGGACAUGAAGUACUAAGCUUUGGUAUGCAGAUAUUCAGUCUCUGGCAUUCAACAUUUGUGCUCUGAGGAGGGGCAGGAGAGGAACCAGAAGGAUGCCAGGACAGGAGAGACAGUAUAACAGGAGAAACGCUGAGACUCAAACCUUCCUGUCUUAGAAGAGAGUUGCAAAACCAGAAUGGAGGCAGUGAGGAUGAGCAGGUGAUUUUGGCCAUGGGACAAGCCAGCAUACAAUGACACACAAAGUACUUGCUUUAUAUUAAAGAUCCAAAAAUAUAUAUAGC